rnacentral:tRNA from 1 species
GGAGAGGUACGGAAGCGGCCAUAACCGGGCGGUCUUGAAAACCGUUUGACCCUUUGGGUCCCGUGGGUUCGAAUCCCACCCUCUCCGCCA